rnacentral:rRNA from 1 species
UACGGGGGGAGCAAGCGUUGUUCGGAUUUACUGGGCGUAAAGGGCGCGUAGGCGGCCACCGCAAGUCGACUGUGAAAUCUCUGGGCUUAACCCAGAACGGUCAGCCGAUACUGCGGGGCUAGAGUGCAGAAGGGGCAACUGGAAUUCUCGGUGUAGCGGUGAAAUGCGUAGAUAUCGAGAGGAACACCUGCGGCGAAGGCGGGUUGCUGGGCUGACACUGACGUGAGGCGCGAAAGCAUGGGGAGCGAACAGG